rnacentral:rRNA from 1 species
GCGGCGUGCCUAACACAUGCAAGUCGAACGAAGCGAUUAGGAUGAAGUUUUCGGAUGGAUUCCUGGUUGACUGAGUGGCGGACGGGUGAGUAACGCGUGGAUAACCUGCCUCACACUGGGGGAUAACAGUUAGAAAUGGCUGCUAAUACCGCAUAAGCGCACAGUACCGCAUGGUACGGUGUGAAAAACCCAGGUGGUGUGAGAUGGAUCCGCGUCUGAUUAGCCAGUUGGCGGGGUAACGGCCCACCAAAGCGACGAUCAGUAGCCGACCUGAGAGGGUGACCGGCCACAUUGGGACUGAGACACGGCCCAAACUCCUACGGGAGGCAGCAGUGGGGAAUAUUGCACAAUGGGCGGAAGCCUGAUGCAGCGACGCCGCGUGAGUGAAGAAGUAUCUCGGUAUGUAAAGCUCUAUCAGCAGGGAAGAAAAUGACGGUACCUGACUAAGAAGCCCCGGCUAACUACGUGCCAGCAGCCGCGGUAAUACGUAGGGGGCAAGCGUUAUCCGGAUUUACUGGGUGUAAAGGGAGCGUAGACGGCGACGCAAGUCUGGAGUGAAAGCCCGGGGCCCAACCCCGGGACUGCUUUGGAAACUGUGCUGCUGGAGUGCAGGAGAGGUAAGUGGAAUUCCUAGUGUAGCGGUGAAAUGCGUAGAUAUUAGGAGGAACACCAGUGGCGAAGGCGGCUUACUGGACUGUAACUGACGUUGAGGCUCGA